rnacentral:tRNA from 1 species
GGCUGGCGUAGCUCAAUUGGCAGAGCAGCUGAUUUGUAAUCAGCAGGUUGUGGGUUCGACUCCCACCGCUAGCUUCC